rnacentral:rRNA from 1 species
CGCACUCUCGUUUAGAUUGAAGGAGCUUGCUCCUGAUUGAUAAACAUUUGAGUGAGUGGCGGACGGGUGAGUAACACGUGGGUAACCUGCCCUAAAGUGGGGGAUAACAUUUGGAAACAGAUGCUAAUACCGCAUAAAACCUAACACCGCAUGGUGUAGGGUUGAAAGAUGGUUUCGGCUAUCACUUUAGGAUGGACCCGCGGUGCAUUAGUUAGUUGGUGAGGUAAAGGCUCACCAAGACCGUGAUGCAUAGCCGACCUGAGAGGGUAAUCGGCCACACUGGGACUGAGACACGGCCCAGACUCCUACGGGAGGCAGCAGUAGGGAAUCUUCCACAAUGGACGAAAGUCUGAUGGAGCAACGCCGCGUGAGUGAAGAAGGUUUUCGGAUCGUAAAACUCUGUUGUUGGAGAAGAAUGUAUCUGAUAGUAACUGAUCAGGUAGUGACGGUAUCCAACCAGAAAGCCACGGCUAACUACGUGCCAGCAGCCGCGGUAAUACGUAGGUGGCAAGCGUUGUCCGGAUUUAUUGGGCGUAAAGCGAGCGCAGGCGGUUUCUUAAGUCUGAUGUGAAAGCCUUCGGCUCAACCGAAGAAGUGCAUCGGAAACUGGGAAACUUGAGUGCAGAAGAGGACAGUGGAACUCCAUGUGUAGCGGUGAAAUGCGUAGAUAUAUGGAAGAACACCAGUGGCGAAGGCGGCUGUCUGGUCUGUAACUGACGCUGAGGCUCGAAAGCAUGGGUAGCAAACAGGAUUAGAUACCCUGGUAGUCCAUGCCGUAAACGAUGAGUGCUAGGUGUUGGAGGGUUUCCGCCCUUCAGUGCCGCAGCUAACGCAUUAAGCACUCCGCCUGGGGAGUACGACCGCAAGGUUGAAACUCAAAGGAAUUGACGGGGGCCCGCACAAGCGGUGGAGCAUGUGGUUUAAUUCGAAGCAACGCGAAGAACCUUACCAGGUCUUGACAUCCUUUGACCACUCUAGAGAUAGAGCUUUCCCUUCGGGGACAAAGUGACAGGUGGUGCAUGGUUGUCGUCAGCUCGUGUCGUGAGAUGUUGGGUUAAGUCCCGCAACGAGCGC